GACGAACGCUGGCGGCGUGCUUAAUACAUGCAAGUCGAACGGAAAGGCCCUGCUUUUGUGGGGUGCUCGAGUGGCGAACGGGUGAGUAACACGUGAGUAACCUGCCCUUGACUUUGGGAUAACUUCAGGCAACUGGGGCUAAUACCGGAUAGGAGCUCCUGCUGCAUGGUGGGGGUUGGAAAGUUUCGGCGGUUGGGGAUGGACUCGCGGCUUAUCAGCUUGUUGGUGGGGUAGUGGCUUACCAAGGCUUUGACGGGUAGCCGGCCUGAGAGGGUGACCGGCCACAUUGGGACUGAGAUACGGCCCAGACUCCUACGGGAGGCAGCAGUGGGGAAUAUUGCACAAUGGGCGGAAGCCUGAUGCAGCAACGCCGCGUGCGUGAUGACGGCCUUCGGGUUGUAAACCGCUUUCGCCUGUGACGAAGCGUGAGUGACGGUAAUGGGUAAAGAAGCACCGGCUAACUACGUG
rnacentral:rRNA from 1 species